UACACAUAAUCUCAAUCCCAUUUAAUUGGACAAUGUGCCACCUUUAUUUUAGUAAAUCAUCGUUAUUUUCUUUCCAUAGAAGCACACUUUCUCUACAGCUUUAUGGAUGAUUUGAUUUUUUAUCCCUAUUUGCUUUCAUUGUUUUCUAUUUUCUUCUCUUACCCAUUCUACCACCGAUUUAUUUCCACAACCGAGUGCUAAGACAUGAUAAUCAACACACCCUUCCCAAUAAUGCAACAAGAAGAAAGCAAAACGCUCUUUUCAUUCGUGCCCUAACUUAUUAAUCUUCUUUAUACACAACUACACAACUGUAACAAGACCAACAAAUACCGGGAUUGGCUUAUAAGAGUUCAUUAAACCAUAAAGUAGUUCUUUUUUUACCCUAAUAAGUUAUCUUUGAAUCACCACAACGGUGUAAAGCACACUUAUAUAAGCAUUAAAGAAGAACAGACAUAAUAGUAUGUUGACCCAUUUUAUCUCGUUCUCUUUUUCAAAUUUCCAUUAUAAUUCUGAAGUAUUUCAUAGGCAAAAGCUCUGGCUGAGAAUACGGGGGAUUUUUUUGCCUGGAAAGAACAAGCAGAAAGAAACUUAAAUAUCUUUAUACUUAUUUUUUUUAAUUUCUUGUAGUUUUUUUCAUUAUAUUUUUACAUGUGUUUGAUUUUUUAAAGAUUGGCUAAACGGCUUGAUGUUGAGGUGCAAAGAUGGUGUAGUGGGAACCAAGGCAACCAGUGUGCAAUACAUUCAAUGUUACAUAUGUAUGUUGUAAUUAUGAUUAGAAUUCUAAGAUAGUAUUUAUACAUUUCAUAUUAUAGGGUGAAACUCGUAGAAACUGCGGUGUAUUUUCUUGAUGUGUUUCUAAUAGUAAUCUACUUUCAUUUUUA